CAGUAGCCGCGGUAAUACGUAGGUAGCAAGCGUUGUCCGGAAUUAUUGGGCGUAAAGGGCUCGCAGGCGGUUUCUUAAGUCUGAUGUGAAAGCCCCCGGCUCAACCGGGGAGGGUCAUUGGAAACUGGGAAACUUAAGUGCAGAAGAGGAGAGUGGAAUUCCACGUGUAGCGGUGAAAUGCGUAGAGAUGUGGAGAAACACCAGUGGCGAAGGCGACUCUCUGGUCUGUAACUGACGCUGAGGAGCGAAAGCGUGGGGAGCGAACAGGAUUAGAUACCCGCGUAGUCCCCUGUCUCUUAUA
rnacentral:rRNA from 1 species